rnacentral:misc_RNA from 1 species
GGCGAUCUUCUUGACGAUCUGCAUGUUCUUCCUCACCAAGUAUCCGCGGAGGAUCUUCUGAAUCUUGACGGCGGCCGACGACCGGUCGGAUUCUGGUGAUCCGGGUUUGUCAUCGGCAAAGUGGACGGGGAUUGAGAUGACCCGGGAUUUCUGAGCCGGUGGGGGCGGCGCCGGGCACCGCGUGGGACGGGGAGAGUAAGCGCGGCGGGCCGGGAAGAAGAGGUUCUCCAUCUCGCUCUCACACUCGAUGUCGA